rnacentral:rRNA from 1 species
CCUACGGGUGGCUGCAGUCGAGAAUCAUUCACAAUGGGGGAAACCCUGAUGGUGCGACGCCGCGUGGGGGAAUGAAGGUCUUCGGAUUGUAAACCCCUGUCAUGUGGGAGCAAAUUAAAAAGAUAGUACCACAAGAGGAAGAGACGGCUAACUCUGUGCCAGCAGCCGCGGUAAUACAGAGGUCUCAAGCGUUGUUCGGAAUCACUGGGCGUAAGGCGUGCGAAGGCUGUUUCGUAAGUCGGGUGUGAAAGGCGCGGGCUCAACCCGCGGACGGCACAUGAUACUGCGAGACUAGAGUAAUGGAGGGGGAACCGGAAUGCUCGGUGUAGCAGUGAAAUGCGUAGAUAUCGAGAGGAACACUCGUGGCGAAGGCGGGUUCCUGGACAUUAACUGACGCUGAGGCACGAAGGCCAGGGGAGCGAAAGGGAUUAGAUACCCCUGUAGUC